GCCCAUCCUCACGUUCACACCUUCGCUAACUUUCUUGUUCUCUCGUAACAGGUAGCUGAGAGGGCAUGCGGCUGGGUGAGCAGUGUUUUUUGAGGUUCAUCCCUAAUUCUGGUGUGUGCACCCGAUAACUGGCUUGCUUCAAACAACAGAAGAGCUACACAGAUCAAACGUCCGAGUGAAGCGAGAGUCAAACAGCACUGCCCCUAACCUUGGCUACUCUGCAGUAGAAGUGCCCCGGUGCAGCCACCCUUCUCAUCAAAGCGCGGUGGUUAAGACUGCCCAGGUCAUCUCUGCAAGCCGCAUUUGUUGCUUGUACAUCUCCACAUCAGCAGAGUGCAACAGGGACAGCAGGCAUGGAGCAGCGGAUAUGGAGAAGUACCGUGAAGAUCACUCUGUAAUGCGGGCAUGGAUGCAAGCAACCCCAAGCUGACACUGGAGCAAGCUGGUUGCUUCAUUGACAGGUUGAGAAAUGCUCUGAUACUGCAAGAUAAUCAGGGUUAAAACAAGUUUUAGCAGUCCCUCCCACUCAGCCAGCAGCCACUUCAGUCCUCUGAACAAUGUUUUGGGGGCUUAGAGAAGAAGGAGCAGAUUGAUCAAUUAGCGAGACAGAAGGUGGCAAGUUAGUUAAGUCAGGCUCACGAGGAACUGAUCACUAAACCCACAAAGCUGGAAGUACUGUCUUAUUUGAGUACUUCAUGUCACCUUUAAACUGGGAGCAGUGGCCAACAUUUAAAUGGGGAAGGGGGUUGGUAAAAACCGUGAGAAGUCCCACAACUAGAAUGAAGAAUAAUGCCUACAAACUGGCAUCUCAGGGUUGACCCAUGCAUGUCUAUGGCUCUGUGUUUGGGGAGAUCAGGGAAAGCAGGAUGUGUCUCUGACAUCUAGUUCGGAGGAAGGUCAGAAGUGCCAGCAGGGCCUUCUGCUUCUAUUCCAUUGGCUGGUUUUGCUAUUCCUCUGUCAGACUUACUGGUUUGGCAGUGCAUUCAAAUGUUACUGGUGGGAAUGUACUGACACACACACACACAUGCAAAAUACAAUGUGGCCUCCUGAGCCUCAUUCUCUUACAAAUUCUGCUUAACCACCCCCUGCCACUUUAUUUUAUUUGGUAACUACUGGAGCCUGCGUGGGGGUGCGGGUGGGGAUUAGCGGAGAGGGAUGGUGCAGGGCUCUUUCUGGAUUUCAGUAAGAGAGGCCUGGCAACAAAGAGCUUCGUAAGAAAACUGCUUUAGUAAGGCAGAACGACAGGAAUACAGAUAGAUAGUGAGUAAGCUGCACAUCCCUUCAGAUGCUGGGCACCCCACAUUCAGGUAGCAUCAGACAGCCUGGAUGGAUUUUUUUUCCCAUGUCGUGCUGUGCAGAGCAGAUCUGACCCCCGUCUGAUGAGAGACGCUCUCCCGUUUGGCCAUUUGAACUAUUAUGUGAUUUCCUGUGAAAACAACUCUCUUCUUGAAGGCUGUUCUCAUGAGAACGCCUGGCUGCCCUGCUCGAUAAGGGCAAGGCCAGGCAGGUGGCACAGGCAGUGGGAGCUGCCUGUGGGCUCCUGUUACGCUGCUUGACACUGGCGAUCCCGCAGCCAGGCGGCUUGCUAUGCCUGCUCGGGGUAACCUGAUGUGCAGCGCUGACCUCUGCGUGUGAAACGGCCUCAUGGGCAGGAUCAGUACCGGUCAGGGAAAGCUUGCGCCCGUGCGUUUUUCUCUGCUUUGGAGACGUUUGGCACAGGAACCUCAGACUUUAAACCACUGGCUCUGCAGUUUGUUUGCUUUCAAAAAUGACAAUGAGCUGGAGCUGGCCGCAGGCAUGGGUUGGCAUAUUAAAGCUCAGGCAUCUCUUCGGUACCAUCAGUGAAAUGCUCUAAGGCGUCACUUUGCAAACACUUUCACACAUUCUUUUGGCUACCAUGAACAAUGCAGCCGAAACCUACAGUGGUGUGGCGUAACCCAUUUUGGAACCGGGCAUGAACCUCAGGGCUUCAUGGGCAAGUGGUGCCCAAAAGGAUUCUGGGCAGCUGUCACCGUAAUAUUGUGAAAAAGCUGGGCAGAGCUCAAAGAAAUACUGUUCAGAGUGCUUUUACAUUAGAUUUCCUUUCAGCAAGGAGCCAAGUGGCGAAUUGGGAAAGUGAGCAGUCAGCAGUGCAUACACCUUUAAAGCAAACCUCUCCCAGCACCCUCUGCUCCCUUCAUGGAGCGGCACUGCAGGGUAUCUGGGCUUUGGUAGUAACUGCACCUUUGCCUGCUCCAUCACUGCUGGGGGUAAGUACCCAGCUCCUUGACCUCUUGCUCCCACAGAACGGGUGCCUUGCUGCUUCUGGUCAGGGUUUUGUUUAAGGUGUCGUGGUGUACUUUGGCUUUUCCACUUGGAUUCUAGAGAAGUUCUGGAGUUACUGCUCUUCCCAGGGUCUGCCUGUGACCUGAAAGCAUGGGAGGGGGCGGGACUGGGGCAGUGCUUGGAUGGCCUUGGUUUCGUGAAGUGAAUCUGUGUGACGUUAUUAAGGUACGGAAACACCGCUCUGUCCUUUGAAACUCAAUUAAUUUGUUGGUUAGUUUUUGAUUAUUUGAUUUUGGAGACAUUCUUUUAAUUAGUGAAGUGACUGCUGUUAUGGCCAAGCAUGUGUAAGUCACUCAAGGAAAGUUUGACAUCCAGCUGCUAGGGAAAUAGCAGCAGGACAUAGUAAAUUAGGUAAAAUGAAGGUUGUAAGCAUUACUACCUGAUAAUGUCUGCACGAAGAUAU